rnacentral:rRNA from 1 species
CCUACGGGAGGCUGCAGUGGGGAAUAUUGGACAAUGGGCGAAAGCCUGAUCCAGCAAUGCCGCGUGAGUGAUGAAGGCCUUAGGGUUGUAAAGCUCUUUUACCAGGGAUGAUAAUGACAGUACCUGGAGAAUAAGCUCCGGCUAACUCCGUGCCAGCAGCCGCGGUAAUACGGAGGGAGCUAGCGUUGUUCGGAAUUACUGGGCGUAAAGAGUACGUAGGCGGUGAUUCAAGUCAGAGGUGAAAGCCUGGAGCUCAACUCCAGAACUGCCUUUGAAACUAGAUCGCUAGAAUUGUGGAGAGGUUAGUGGAAUUCCGAGUGUAGAGGUGAAAUUCGUAGAUAUUCGGAAGAACACCAGUGGCGAAGGCGACUAACUGGACACAUAUUGACGCUGAGGUACGAAAGCGUGGGGAGCAAACAGGAUUAGAUACCCAAGUAGUC